rnacentral:rRNA from 1 species
GAUUUCUGGUAAGAGUUGCUUAGCCCGCCACGGUUUCGUGUGUGAGUGCUGAUGUUUCUCUACCAUCCUUCUAGAUUGGAUGUUUGUCUCUUCAUUGAGCUUCGAGCAUCCUGAUCUAGAUCGUUUACUUUGAAAAAAUUAGAGUGUUUCAAGCAGGCGUUUUUGCUAUGAAUACAUUAGCAUGGAAUAAUAAUUUAGGACUUCGGUUCUAUUUUGUUGGUUUCUAGGACUGAAGUAAUGAUUGAUAGGGAUAGUUGGGGGUGCUAGUAUUCAGAGGCCAGAGGUGAAAUUCUUGGAUUCUCUGAAGACUAACUUAUGCGAAAGCAUU